rnacentral:rRNA from 1 species
GACGAACGCUGGCGGCGUGCCUAAUACAUGCAAGUCGAACGCAGUGGGGACGGGUGAGUAACACGUGGGUAACCUCCCAUCAGAGGGGAUAACACUUGGAAACAGGUGCUAAACCGAUACUGAUGGAUGGACCCGCGGUGCAUUAGCUAGUUGGUGAGGUAACGGCUCACCAAGGCCACGAUGCAUAGGCGAGCUGAGAGGGUGGUCGGGAACACGGGGAGUGAGACAGGGCGCAGAGGCGUACGGGAGGCAGAGGUAGGGAAUCUUCGGCAAUGGACGAAAGUCUGACCGAGCAACGCCGCGUGAGUGAAGAAGGUUUUCGGAUCUUAAAACUCUGUUGUUAGAGAAGCGGUAUCUAACCAGAAAGCGACGGCUAACUACGUGCCAGCAGCCGCGGUAAUAC